GAUAAACGCUGGCGGCGUGCCUAAUGCAUGCAAGUCGAACGGACCGGGUCUUCGGAGCUGGUCAGUGGCGGACGGGUGAGGAACACGUACGAGACCUGCCCUCAGGUGGGGAAUACCCCUUCGAAAGGAGGGUUAAUGCCGCAUCCGCGCACCGGGGUGAUACCUGGUGCGGAAAGCGGUCGCAAGACCGUGCCGGAGGAGGGGCGUGCGGCCGAUUAGCUGGUUGGUGGGGUAAUGGCCUACCAAGGCGUCGAUCGGUAGCUGGUCUGAGAGGAUGGUCAGCCACACUGGGACUGAGAGACGGCCCAGACUCCUACGGGAGGCAGCAGCAGGGGAAUCUUGCGCAAUGGGCGAAAGCCUGACGCAGCAACGCCGCGUGGGUGAGGAAGGCCCUCGGGUUGUAAAGCCCUUUGUGGGGGACGACGAAAGACGGUACCCCAGGAAGAAGCCACGGCUAACUACGUGCCAGCCGCCGCGGU
rnacentral:rRNA from 1 species